GAUACUUCCUGAGCUCCCCUGAAGCAUUGACCUAGGAGCAAUCCAGAAUCAGCUUGAUGUACUAAGUCCUAGGAUUGUUAGAACAUUGUGGACUUUCUGCUUCUGCCAUGACCUGAAGACUUUCAUGCCUGAGUCUCCCUGACAACAUUGCAGACUAAAGGCUGGUGGCUUCUUCAAUUAGUCCUUGUAUGGUCCUCCCGCCAUCUUAGCAUGUCUGGGCGUGUAUAUGCCAACUGUAGGAGCCUGAAAGAUUUAGCAUCUCUCACUAAAUAGAGACGUACUCUACAGGCGUUUAAAAAGUCGAAUCGUGUGUUUCUUGAGGCCAGAGACUGUGUUUCGGGCAACAUCCUCUCUACAGAGCUAUCAAGCCAGGGGAGUGGGAGAGAGUGGUCAAGUCCUGCUGCUGAUUUAAAGAGAAAGAAAAGAAGUAUGAAAUAAGUCAUGAGACAACAGCAGGUGGAGAAGGUGAUGUGGACAAAGUCAAGGCUUUGAAGACUGAGAGGGGAAUGAAAAUGUCUCAGCUAGAAGAAACAUAGACUCAAGUACUCAAGGUGAGAGAGGAGAGUCAGGAAGGUGAAAUGGAGAUGGAAGGCCGCUUCUUACCAUAGCCUGACACUCAGUUCACAUCACUUGAUCCAUGAGUGAUAAACCAGCUAUGUUAAGAAGCACCUGGAGUUCCCUUCCAGUCUCAGGAGAACAGACAGAAAAGCACCAGUUAUAUGAGUUUUAAUUUGCACUGGAUCCCAUGCCCAUGCCUCCAUGGUGGAAGGAAGCAGCUAUUAUCCAGGUCCAGAGAUGAAAAACGCCUGCUGAUGCGCAAUUAGAAGGUCAAUCCAUUGUGUUAGUACAUAGAGAUGGGACAGAUCCUUUGAGACACAACGAAUUGGUCACAGAAUCGAAUAGGAAGAAGAGAACAGCCUGACACUCAAGGGACAUCCAAGGACACCAUGAUGCAAACAAACAACACAGGAAAUACUAAAUAAUUUUACUUUC